GCGAGUUGCAAAACUCCCAACCCUUUGUGGACGAACUCUAGCAGUUGCUUCGGCGCGGAGCCCCCCUGGGGACCCGCGCCGGGCGCACUAAACUCUUGUAUUAUUUGGCAUCUCUGAGCGUAUCUCUAAAUGAGUCA
rnacentral:misc_RNA from 1 species